UUCUUAGGUUUGAGCCUGAAAGAUCCCACGCAGAGAGACCCUUACUCAAGUCUUGGGAAAUCGCGGACCCCAGACACAGAGAGACCA
rnacentral:pre_miRNA from 14 species